UCGGGAAUUUUGCUCAAUGGGCGCAAGCCUGAAGCAGCAACGCCGCGUGAGGGAUGAAGGCCUUCGGGUUGUAAACCUCUUUUCUCAGGGACGAUGAUGACGGUACCUGAGGAAUAAGUCACGGCUAACUACGUGCCAGCAGCCGCGGUAAUACGUAGGUGACCAGCGUUGUCCGGAUUUACUGGGCGUAAAGAGCGCGCAGGCGGUCGUUCAAGUCGGGUGUGAAAGCCCCCGGCUCAACUGGGGAGGGUCACUCGAUACUGAUCGACUUGAAGGCAGGAGAGGGAAGCGGAAUUCCCGGUGUAGUGGUAAAAUGCGUAGAUAUCGGGAGGAACACCAGUGGCGAA
rnacentral:rRNA from 1 species